AUUGAACGCUGGCGGAAUGCUUUACACAUGCAAGUCGAACGGCAGCACGGACUUCGGUCUGGUGGCGAGUGGCGAACGGGUGAGUAAUACAUCGGAACGUGCCCAGUCGUGGGGGAUAACGUAGCGAAAGCUACGCUAAUACCGCAUACGAUCUAAGGAUGAAAGCGGGGGAUCGCAAGACCUCGCGCGAUUGGAGCGGCCGAUGGCAGAUUAGGUAGUUGGUAGGGGAAAGGCCUACCAAGCCGACGGUCUGUAGCUGGUCUGAGAGGAUGAUCAGCCACACUCGGACUGAGACACGGCCCAGACUCCGACGGGAGGCAGCAGUGGGGAAUUUUGGACAAUGGGCGCAAGCCUGAUCCAGCCAUUCCGCGUGCAGGAUGAAGGCCUUCGGGUUGUAAACUGCUUUUGUACAGAACGAAAAGGCUCUGGUUAAUACCCGGGGCUCAUGACGGUACUGUAAGAAUAAGCACCGGCUAACUACGUGCCAGCCGCCGCAGUAA
rnacentral:rRNA from 1 species